UUGACCUCAAAUCGGGUGGGACUACCCGCUGAACUUAAGCAUAUCAAUAAGCGGAGGAAAAGAAACUAACAAGGAUUCCCCUAGUAACGGCGAGUGAAGAGGGAAGAGCUCAAAUUUUGAAUCUGGUGUCUUUGGCGCCCGAGUUGUAAUCUAGAGAAGUGUUUUCCGCGUUGGACCGUUCACAAGUUUUCUGGAAUGAGGCUUCAUAGAGGGUGAGAAUCCCGUAUCUGGAACGGACUACCAAUGCUCUGUGAUACACUCUCAACGAGUCGAGUUGUUUGGGAAUGCAGCUCAAAAUGGGUGGUAAAUUCCAUCUAAAGCUAAAUAUUGGCGAGAGACCGAUAGCGAACAAGUACCGUGAGGGAAAGAUGAAAAGCACUUUGGAAAGAGAGUGAAACAGUACGUGAAAUUGUUGAAAGGGAAGCGUUUGAAGUCAGUCAUAUCUGUCGGGAUUCAGCUUGGCUUUUGCCUUGUGUACUUUCCGUCCGAUGGGUCAGCAUCAAUUCAGACCGAGGGAAAAAGGCGUUUGGAAUGUGGCUGUCUUCGGGCAGUGUUAUAGCCUCGCGUUGUAUGUCUCGGUUGGGAUUGAGGAACGCAACGCGCCACUUAAUUGGCCGGGGGUUAAGUCCUCUCGUAUCGCGCUUAGGAUGCUGG
rnacentral:rRNA from 1 species